CGAGCGUGCGCGUGGUUCUCCCGUCGCGUGCUGGGGUGGGGAGAGAGGCCCGGCCUGUCCGGGCUCCGCCCCGCCGCGAGCGGCUGACCUAUCCGCUCAGUUCUCAUCCUG
rnacentral:pre_miRNA from 1 species